rnacentral:lncRNA from 1 species
GUAAGAACACAGGGAAUCCUGUAAGAAACAACAGGAACAGGAGGGGAUGCAAAAAAUAUAGUCACCCUCUAAACAAGUAUAGAAGCAGGAACAAUUAACGGAGCAACCCCCUAAUUUGUAUGUUUUGUUAAUGCUCUUGAAAUCCAGGAAGUGAUUAGAGAGGUCUCUGAGUUUCACUGUUCUUGUCACAAUAACAAACAGUAGAUUUAGUACUUUUAAGUUCCACAAGUCGAAAGAUCUAGUUUUUAAUCUUCUUCAUAGCUGUUUUACAGGAAGGAACGUUGAGAGGGAAUGGGGGGGACUGUUUCUUCUGUAAGAAGCAGCAAGUAAAUUUAUACCCAUGGUAUUUUCUUUCCUUUGGCAAGCUCCCCCACAAAAUACCCUGAGUGUGAAGAAUACAGAAGAAGCAGGACAGGACAGAACAGCACAGUAAUCACACACAUUCUGGAUAUCUGAAGCAGAGAUAAUAUAUCCUGCACUGAAGCUAAGAAACAAUUUCAGUGACAUCUGGUAGAAUUUGCCAGCUGUUAAUAUGUGAAUGCAUGCUUGGUGAAACAGGAAGAAAUGCAGAUCUUCAGUGAAUGAGCUUGGGAACACUGAAGAAGUGAGAAAAAGUGGAAGGAAUGAUUUCUAUGGAAUUAUAAAAGCGAUAAGCAAAGAAAAAAGUGGUAGAUACUACUUUGGAUGACUGCUUCUUGAGUACACUUUAGAGUGUAAGUGCAUGUUGUCACAGGCCUUUGUUCUUAUCAGAUGAAGGUUAUUCAUAUGAUUUUGAUGCAUUUAAGCCUCCUGUUGGUGACUCCUCUCUCCUUUGGAUCCCUGCCUCUCCCGCUUACUGUGGACAGACAGGCAAUCACAGCACACUCACCAUUAGAGGUGGUGGGCAGGAGGAAGGAGCUCUGGAGCAGCAAUAAUGUGAGCAAGGAUANNNNNNNNNNNNNNNNNNNNNNNNNNNNNNNNNNNNGAGUAAUUGGAUGACGAUGGACACAGAAGAUUUGGGGAAUAAUGAAAGAACUGCUCUCAGAGUGCUUCUUUUCUCUUUUAUUCUAGAUUUCUUCUGUAUGUUUGCAGUAUUUACUAGCACUCAAUGUCAAACAAGCAAGUUGUUCCCCUUGGAUGUUUAGGGCAAAGCAUAUGAAAGUGAAGGACACUUUUAUUUGGAAAAAUUACCUAUGCAGUGCAUUUAAUAAACUUGAAUUAUUAUGCA